AGAGUUUGAUCAUGGCUCAGAGCGAACGCUGGCGGCAGGCCUAACACAUGCAAGUCGAGCGCCGUAGCAAUACGGAGCGGCAGACGGGAGAGUAACACGUGGGAACGUACCUUUUGGUUCGGAACAACUGAGGGAAACUUCAGCUAAUACCGGAUAAGCCCUUACGGGGAAAGAUUUAUCGCCAAAAGAUCGGCCCGCGUCUGAUUAGCUAGUUGGUGGGGUAACGGCCCACCAAGGCGACGAUCAGUAGCUGGUCUGAGAGGAUGAUCAGCCUCACUGGGACUGAGACACGGCCCAGACUCCUACGGGAGGCAGCAGUGGGGAAUAUUGGACAAUGGGCGCAAGCCUGAUCCAGCCAUGCCGCGUGGGUGAUGAAGGCCCUAGGGUUGUAAAGCUCUUUUGUGCGGGAAGAUAAUGACGGUACCGCAAGAAUAAGCCCCGGCUAACUUCGUGCCAGCAGCCGCGGUAAUACGAAGGGGGCUAGCGUUGCUCGGAAUCACUGGGCGUAAAGGGUGCGUAGGCGGGUCUUUAAGUCAGGGGUGAAAUCCUGGAGCUCAACUCCAGAACUGCCUUUGAUACUGAAGAUCUUGAGUUCGGGAGAGGUGAGUGGAACUGCGAGUGUAGAGGUGAAAUUCGUAGAUAUUCGCAAGAACACCAGUGGCGAAGGCGGCUCACUGGCCCGAUACUGACGCUGAGGCACGAAAGCGUGGGGAGCAAACAGGAUUAGAUACCCUAGUAGUCC
rnacentral:rRNA from 1 species